rnacentral:rRNA from 1 species
GGAAUCGGGGUUUAAUACCGGAUCAUGACCUUUGCAGGCAUCUGCGAGGUUGGAAAGCUCCGGUGGUGAAGGAUGAGCGCGCGGCUUAUCAUCUUGUUGGUGAGGUAAUGGCUCACCAAGGGGGCGACGGGUAACCGGCCUGAGAGGGCGACCGGCCACACUGGUACUGAGACACGCACCAGACUCCUACGGGAGGCAGCAGUGGGGAAUAUUGCACAAUGGUCGAAAGCCUGAUACAGAGACGUCGGGUGAGGGAUGCCGGCCUUCGGGUUGUAAACCUCUAUCAGCAGGGAAGAAGUGAAAGUGACGGUACCUGCAGAAGAAGCGCCGGCUAACUACGUGCCAGCAGCCGCGGUAAUACGUAGGGUGCAAGCGUUGUCCGGAAUUAUUGGGCGUAAAGAGCUCGUAGGCGGCUUGUCACGUCGGUUGUGAAAUCCCGGGGCUUAACCCCGGGUCUGCAGUCGAUACGGGCAGGCUAGAGUUCGGUAGGGGAGAUCGGAAUUCCUGGUGUAGCGGUGAAAUGCGCAGAUAUCAGGAGGAACACCCGGUGGCGAAGGCGGAUCUCUGGGC